UUAAAUUGAAGAGUUUGAUCAUGGCUCAGAUUGAACGCUGGCGGCAGGCCUAACACAUGCAAGUCGAACGGUAACAGGAAGAAGCUUGCUUCUUUGCUGACGAGUGGCGGACGGGUGAGUAAUGUCUGGGAAACUGCCUGAUGGAGGGGGAUAACUACUGGAAACGGUAGCUAAUACCGCAUAACG
rnacentral:rRNA from 1 species